rnacentral:rRNA from 1 species
GGGUUGUGAGGUUAAGCGACUAAGCGUACACGGUGGAUGCCCUGGCAGUCAGAGGCGAUGAAGGACGUGCUAAUCUGCGAUAAGCGUCGGUAAGGUGAUAUGAACCGUUAUAACCGGCGAUUUCCGAAUGGGGAAACCCAGUGUGUUUCGACACACUAUCAUUAACUGAAUCCAUAGGUUAAUGAGGCGAACCGGGGGAACUGAAACAUCUAAGUACCCCGAGGAAAAGAAAUCAACCGAGAUUCCCCCAGUAGCGGCGAGCGAACGGGGAGCAGCCCAGAGCCUGAAUCAGUGUGUGUGUUAGUGGAAGCGUCUGGAAAGGCGCGCGAUACAGGGUGACAGCCCCGUACACAAAAAUGCACAUGCUGUGAGCUCGAUGAGUAGGGCGGGACACGUGGUAUCCUGUCUGAAUAUGGGGGGACCAUCCUCCAAGGCUAAAUACUCCUGACUGACCGAUAGUGAACCAGUACCGUGAGGGAAAGGCGAAAAGAACCCCGGCGAGGGGAGUGAAAAAGAACCUGAAACCGUGUACGUACAAGCAGUGGGAGCACGCUUAGGCGUGUGACUGCGUACCUUUUGUAUAAUGGGUCAGCGACUUAUAUUCUGUAGCAAGGUUAACCGAAUAGGGGAGCCGAAGGGAAACCGAGUCUUAACUGGGCGUUAAGUUGCAGGGUAUAGACCCGAAACCCGGUGAUCUAGCCAUGGGCAGGUUGAAGGUUGGGUAACACUAACUGGAGGACCGAACCGACUAAUGUUGAAAAAUUAGCGGAUGACUUGUGGCUGGGGGUGAAAGGCCAAUCAAACCGGGAGAUAGCUGGUUCUCCCCGAAAGCUAUUUAGGUAGCGCCUCGUGAAUUCAUCUCCGGGGGUAGAGCACUGUUUCGGCAAGGGGGUCAUCCCGACUUACCAACCCGAUGCAAACUGCGAAUACCGGAGAAUGUUAUCACGGGAGACACACGGCGGGUGCUAACGUCCGUCGUGAAGAGGGAAACAACCCAGACCGCCAGCUAAGGUCCCAAAGUCAUGGUUAAGUGGGAAACGAUGUGGGAAGGCCCAGACAGCCAGGAUGUUGGCUUAGAAGCAGCCAUCAUUUAAAGAAAGCGUAAUAGCUCACUGGUCGAGUCGGCCUGCGCGGAAGAUGUAACGGGGCUAAACCAUGCACCGAAGCUGCGGCAGCGACACUAUGUGUUGUUGGGUAGGGGAGCGUUCUGUAAGCCUGUGAAGGUGUGCUGUGAGGUAUGCUGGAGGUAUCAGAAGUGCGAAUGCUGACAUAAGUAACGAUAAAGCGGGUGAAAAGCCCGCUCGCCGGAAGACCAAGGGUUCCUGUCCAACGUUAAUCGGGGCAGGGUGAGUCGACCCCUAAGGCGAGGCCGAAAGGCGUAGUCGAUGGGAAACAGGUUAAUAUUCCUGUACUUGGUGUUACUGCGAAGGGGGGACGGAGAAGGCUAUGUUGGCCGGGCGACGGUUGUCCCGGUUUAAGCGUGUAGGCUGGUUUUCCAGGCAAAUCCGGAAAAUCAAGGCUGAGGCGUGAUGACGAGGCACUACGGUGCUGAAGCAACAAAUGCCCUGCUUCCAGGAAAAGCCUCUAAGCAUCAGGUAACAUCAAAUCGUACCCCAAACCGACACAGGUGGUCAGGUAGAGAAUACCAAGGCGCUUGAGAGAACUCGGGUGAAGGAACUAGGCAAAAUGGUGCCGUAACUUCGGGAGAAGGCACGCUGAUAUGUAGGUGAAGUCCCUCGCGGAUGGAGCUGAAAUCAGUCGAAGAUACCAGCUGGCUGCAACUGUUUAUUAAAAACACAGCACUGUGCAAACACGAAAGUGGACGUAUACGGUGUGACGCCUGCCCGGUGCCGGAAGGUUAAUUGAUGGGGUUAGCGCAAGCGAAGCUCUUGAUCGAAGCCCCGGUAAACGGCGGCCGUAACUAUAACGGUCCUAAGGUAGCGAAAUUCCUUGUCGGGUAAGUUCCGACCUGCACGAAUGGCGUAAUGAUGGCCAGGCUGUCUCCACCCGAGACUCAGUGAAAUUGAACUCGCUGUGAAGAUGCAGUGUACCCGCGGCAAGACGGAAAGACCCCGUGAACCUUUACUAUAGCUUGACACUGAACAUUGAGCCUUGAUGUGUAGGAUAGGUGGGAGGCUUAGAAGUGUGGACGCCAGUCUGCAUGGAGCCGACCUUGAAAUACCACCCUUUAAUGUUUGAUGUUCUAACGUUGACCCGUAAUCCGGGUUGCGGACAGUGUCUGGUGGGUAGUUUGACUGGGGCGGUCUCCUCCUAAAGAGUAACGGAGGAGCACGAAGGUUGGCUAAUCCUGGUCGGACAUCAGGAGGUUAGUGCAAUGGCAUAAGCCAGCUUGACUGCGAGCGUGACGGCGCGAGCAGGUGCGAAAGCAGGUCAUAGUGAUCCGGUGGUUCUGAAUGGAAGGGCCAUCGCUCAACGGAUAAAAGGUACUCCGGGGAUAACAGGCUGAUACCGCCCAAGAGUUCAUAUCGACGGCGGUGUUUGGCACCUCGAUGUCGGCUCAUCACAUCCUGGGGCUGAAGUAGGUCCCAAGGGUAUGGCUGUUCGCCAUUUAAAGUGGUACGCGAGCUGGGUUUAGAACGUCGUGAGACAGUUCGGUCCCUAUCUGCCGUGGGCGCUGGAGAACUGAGGGGGGCUGCUCCUAGUACGAGAGGACCGGAGUGGACGCAUCACUGGUGUUCGGGUUGUCAUGCCAAUGGCACUGCCCGGUAGCUAAAUGCGGAAGAGAUAAGUGCUGAAAGCAUCUAAGCACGAAACUUGCCCCGAGAUGAGUUCUCCCUGACUCCUUGAGAGUCCUGAAGGAACGUUGAAGACGACGACGUUGAUAGGCCGGGUGUGUAAGCGCAGCGAUGCGUUGAGCUAACCGGUACUAAUGAACCGUGAGGCUUAACCUUACAACGCCGAAGGUGUUU